GAGGUAACGGCUCACCAAGGCCACGAUGCAUAGCCGACCUGAGAGGGUGAUCGGCCACAUUGGGACUGAGACACGGCCCAAACUCCUACGGGAGGCAGCAGUAGGGAAUCUUCGGCAAUGGACGAAAGUCUGACCGAGCAACGCCGCGUGAGUGAAGAAGGUUUUCGGAUCGUAAAACUCUGUUGUUAGAGAAGAACAAGGAUGAGAGUAACUGUUCAUCCCUUGACGGUAUCUAACCAGAAAGCCACGGCUAACUACGUGCCAGCAGCCGCGGUAAUACGUAGGUGGCAAGCGUUGUCCGGAUUUAUUGGGCGUAAAGCGAGCGCAGGCGGUUUCUUAAGUCUGAUGUGAAAGCCCCCGGCUCAACCGGGGAGGGUCAUUGGAAACUGGGAGACUUGAGUGCAGAAGAGGAGAGUGGAAUUCCAUGUGUAGCGGUGAAAUGCGUAGAUAUAUGGAGGAACACCAGUGGCGAAGGCGGCUCUCUGGUCUGUAACUGACGCUGAGGCUCGAAAGCGUGGGGAGCAAACAGGAUUAGAUACCCUGGUAGUCCACGCCGUAAACGAUGAGUGCUAAGUGUUGGAGGGUUUCCGCCCUUCAGUGCUGCAGCUAACGCAUUAAGCACUCCGCCUGGGGAGUACGACCGCAAGGUUGAAACUCAAAGGAAUUGACGGGGGCCCGCACAAGCGGUGGAGCAUGUGGUUUAAUUCGAAGCAACGCGAAGAACCUUACCAGGUCUUGACAUCCUUUGACCACUCUAGAGAUAGAGCUUCCCCUUCGGGGGCAAAGUGACAGGUGGUGCAUGGUUGUCGUCAGCUCGUGUCGUGAGAUGUUGGGUUAAGUCCCGCAACGAGCGCAACCCUUAUUGUUAGUUGCCAUCAUUCAGUUGGGCACUCUAGCAAGACUGCCGGUGACAAACCGGAGGAAGGUGGGGAUGACGUCAAAUCAUCAUGCCCCUUAUGACCUGGGCUACACACGUGCUACAAUGGGAAGUACAACGAGUUGCGAAGUCGCGAGGCUAAGCUAAUCUCUUAAAGCUUCUCUCAGUUCGGAUUGCAGGCUGCAACUCGCCUGCAUGAAGCCGGAAUCGCUAGUAAUCGCGGAUCAGCACGCCGCGGUGAAUACGUUCCCGGGCCUUGUACACACCGCCCGUCACACCACGAGAGUUUGUAACACCCG
rnacentral:rRNA from 1 species